rnacentral:rRNA from 1 species
UGCGCAGGCGGAUAGAUGUGUCAGGUGUGAAAUCUCGGGGCUCAACCUCGAAACUGCGCCUGAAACUGUCUAUCUAGAGUAUUGGAGGGGUAAGCGGAAUUUCCGGUGUAGCGGUGAAAUGCGUAGAUAUCGGAAGGAACACCAAUGGCGAAGGCAGCUUACUGGACAAUAACUGACGCUCAGGCACGAAAGCAUGGGUAGCGAAAG